rnacentral:piRNA from 1 species
UGUAGCUAGUGUCACUGGGUGUGCAACGU